rnacentral:rRNA from 1 species
CCUACGGGAGGCAGCAGUGAGGAAUAUUGGUCAAUGGACGAGAGUCUGAACCAGCCAAGUAGCGUGAAGGAUGACUGCCCUAUGGGUUGUAAACUUCUUUUAUAUGGGAAUAAAACGUUCCACGUGUGGGAUUUUGUAUGUACUAUAUGAAUAAGGAUCGGCUAACUCCGUGCCAGCAGCCGCGGUAAUACGGAGGAUCCGAGCGUUAUCCGGAUUUAUUGGGUUUAAAGGGAGCGUAGGUGGGUUGUUAAGUCAGUUGUGAAAGUUUGCGGCUCAACCGUAAAAUUGCAGUUGAUACUGGCAGUCUUGAGUACAGUAGAGGUAGGCGGAAUUCGUGGUGUAGCGGUGAAAUGCUUAGAUAUCACGAAGAACUCCGAUUGCGAAGGCAGUUCACUGAACUGCAACUGACACUGAGGCUCGAAAGUGUGGGUAUCAAACAGGAUUAGAUACCCGAGUAGUC